rnacentral:rRNA from 1 species
CUUGCCUACGGGGGGCAGCAGUGGGGGAUAUUGCACAAUGGGGGGAACCCUGAUGCAGCGACGCCGCGUGGGUGAAGGAGUAUUUCGGUAUGUAAAGCCCUAUCGGCAGGGAAGAAGCAAGACGGUACCUGACUAAGAAGCCCCGGCUAACUACGUGCCAGCAGCCGCGGUAAUACGUAGGGGGCGAGCGUUAUCCGGAUUCACUGGGUGUAAAGGGAGCGUAGACGGCCAAGCAAGCCAGGGGUGAAAGCCCGGGGCCCAACCCCGGGACUGCCCUUGGAACUGCUUGGCUGGAGUGCGGGAGG